UUCAAAAUAUUGUGGGGUCUACAGCAAGUUUGAUUUACCCGGAUAUCACUUCCCCGGGUAAAUGAUACCCUUGUGAGACUCGGGUAAGUUGAUUUCCCGAGUGGAGGGUAGGCAGAUAAAAAUAGAAAAUCUCAAUAUUACCCCUAGAAGAUAUAAAGGUUCAGACUCUACCUCUCCGAAAAAUCACCUCUGUGUUUCCCUCCACUUCGUUCUACUUCUCCGAAAAUCAACUUCUGCGUUUCUCAUCCACACCUUUCUUCUUCUAUGCCAUUAUUUCUUUUAGACAGAGAAUGCUGAGUUCUGCCUUUCUUCUGUCGCUGAUGUGUGUCUCUGAGUUCUCUGCGUAUCUCUGCGUUUCUCCUCCGAAAAUCACCUCUGCGUAUCUCGGAGUUCUGCUUCUCUGCCUUCGCUGCUGCUACAUCAAAUCAUCGCAAAUGCUGAAGAGUUGUCGUCGCCGUCCUCCAUCUGUUGCCAGCACCAUUGAUCAUCCCAGUUGUUGUCACCGCUUCGUCUAGUUGUCAUCAUUGGUCAUUUUUUUCCUCCAUUUAAACAAUUUCUUGGAUCUAGUAUUUUGGUUUUUUAAUCAACUAUGAUACCUAGAGUUUUCAGAAUCAGAACAGAAACAAUUCUUGUUGUAGAAGAUCUACUCAGUGAAUCACUCUACAUUUACUUUCCGAUAUCCACCCAACGAGAUACGCUGAAUAUCGGGAUGCAAGUGAUCAUUGCUCGCUGUCCUACUGCACGGAUGGUCUGAUUUAUGCCAUCACGGGGUCCACUGGAAUUACCAUUUCCAACACUAUUUUUCCCAUCACAAUGAUACAAUGUUGCUUGGCCACUGGAUAUUGGAAUGCAAGUGACCAUUGCAUUCAAUCAUUUCGGUCGGUGAGGGGAUCAUACAGAAAAUGCCCAGGUAUAGGCGUGGCUACAUCCACAUGUUAACAAUGAUUUCACGCAGUGGCUGAUAUAUGCAUGCAAUCGGCGGUAGUGCCAAUACCACCAUAAACAGUCAGGACAACCACAACAUUGUGCCGUCGAACCUGGAUUCCGAGGAGGUGACAAAGCGGGUGGACAGUGGACGAGUUGGAACUGGAGGAUGAAGGGCGAUAUAAUGGUAUUGGAGACAAGAUCUGCUCCUCACACCCGGCGCCUCGUAGGCUUUUCACACAAACAUCCUACCUUGGGAACAUUUCCUAUUAUUUUUAGUUAUUAUUCAUGGGGAUGUUCUCAAUGCACGGUGGAUGUGCAUGUGAAGCGCCCAUUUGUGAGGAGCAGAUCCUGUCUUGGUAAAUGGAGCGUUUUUCGUGCCAUCCAGGGAGGGCCUAGGGGUAAAGUAUGCCAAGGCGCGGGUGUGGAGUCCAAAUAGACCUAUUCAUGGGCCAGAUAGCCCGAUGGCCUGGCCCGGUCCAGCCUGCACCCCGGU